CACGGUUGUCUCAAAAAAAAACCUAGUGUAAACACGGCCGUAAGUCGGCCUAGUCUCUUGCUCUGCGGUGAGGACGAACUUGCAUAUGGUGCGACGGAUGCGCAUGGGCUGGGGGUAAUGAUUUGCAGAGCUUCUACCUCGAGAACAAGUGUCACACGGGGCCGGAAAAUGGCAGGGUGGUAGAGAGAAAGAGAUUGUUACCGGGGGCUCGACGGCGCCACGCCUCCCGAUCUCCUCCGCCGCCUACCGACCGGCAGCGGUGCCUCCGCCUCCCUCCGGUGAAGCUCCCCCGAGCGCUGCGCCUCCAGGUCCCUCUGCCCUCCGGCGACGGCCGACUGCCCGGCGGCCGCCCCCCUUGCCCCUAGCUCCACCCCGCCUGAAGCUCCCGCCCCCUCCGGCGACGGCGACGCGACGGCCCGGCGGUCGUCUUCCUCCUCCGUCGACCAGGUUUGAUCAGGAGUUUGUAAGAAGCUCCUGGAUUAUAACUGAUCAGAUGCUUGGGCACAACAAUAUGUCGCCCAACAGACUAGAGGUCGUGCUGAUGCUGUUGAUGCUCAUGGUUUACAAUGCUUCAGGAGCAUUUGUUGGUAUCAACAUUGGCACUAACGUGUCAGACCUGCCAUCAGCAUCAGACAUAGUCUCCAUCCUUAAAGCCAAGAAGAUUCAACAUGUUCGCUUGGUUGAUUCAAACCAUGAGAUGCUAGUCGCCCUUGCGAACACUGGAAUUGAAGUGAUGGUUGGUGUGCCAAAUAAUGAGCUGCUCCGUGUGGGGCAAUCUCGUCCGACAGCUGCUGAUUGGAUUAACAAGAAUGUUGCUGCCUACAUUCCAGCAACAAACAUCACGUAUAUUGCCGUGGGUGAUGAGAUUCUUACUACUGUCCCAAAUGCAGCUCUUGUUCUAGUACCUGCAUUGCAAUUCCUCCAAUCAGCACUGUUGGCUGCAAACCUCAAUACCCAGGUGAAACUAUCAAGUCCUCAUUCAAUGGAUAUGAUCUCUAAGGCAUUUCCUCCCUCUGCUGCCACUUUCAACUCAACAUGGAGCUCAAUAAUGUUACAGUAUCUUGGAUUUCUGAAGAGGACAGGAUCUUCCUUCAUGCUGAAUGCUCAACCGUACUAUGGCUAUGUGAAAGGGCAAGGUGUAUUCCCUUUAGAGUAUGCCCUGUUUCGAUCACUCAAUCCCAACAGUCAGAUUGCAGAUCCGAACACCAAUUUGUUCUAUACCAAUAUGUUUGAUGCUAUGGUUGAUGCCACAUACAACUCAAUGAAAGCAAUGAAUUUCACCGAUAUUCCUGUAAUGGUCACAGCUUCUGGUUGGCCAUGGCAUAGUGCACGCAAAGAACCGGCUGCGGAUGUUGAUAAUGCUCUGGCCUACAAUACAAAUCUCAUACGCCAUGUACUAAAUAACUCUGGUACCCCUAGCCAGCCAAAUAAUCAAGUAAGCACAUACCUGUUUGAGUUGUUCAGCGAGGAUCUUCGGUCAGGAUCUGUUUCGGGGGAAAGUUGGGGGAUUAUGUUUACCAAUGCAAGUGCAGUGUACUCCCUGACAUUUGAAGAUGUGGCUACAGCUAGUACUGAUUCACCGGCUCUGCACGGGAUGUUUUGUGUGGCAAAUUCAAGUGCACCCCAUAGUGCAUUGAAGCAAAGUUUGGAUUGGGCAUGUGGCCCUGGUUCUGCAAACUGCAGCGCAAUUCAACCUGGGCAGCCGUGCUACAAACCAGAUGACAUUGUAGCUGUUGCUUCGUAUGCUUUCAAUGAUUAUUAUCAUAGAACGCAAGCAAGUGGAGGAACAUGUAACUUUAAUAGCACAGCAACGAUAUCAUCUACGGAUCCAAGCCAUGGUUCAUGUAAAUUUGCAGGAAGCACCGGUGUCAAUGGCAGUGGUAUGGCUUCUGGACCUGUGAGCCAAGAUAGUUCCGCUUCACAAUCUCAAUCUUUCUGGUUGACUUGGCUAAUCGCCAUGCUGCUGCCUGUUCUACUUCUCAUGUAAAACAUUGUAACCGAACGUUGUAUUUUGGAUGAGAUGCGUGAGAUUUGUUGCGCCUCUUGUUGUUAGAUAGAAAGGGGGCCCAUUUGUCUCACUUUAUUGAGGUGGUAAAUGCCAUGUACUCCCUCUGUAAAUAAAUAUAAGACCUUUUAGAUCACUACUUUAGUGAUCUAAAACGUCUUAUAUUUGUUUACACAGGGAGUGUCUCUCAAUUUUAGUUGUACUAGAAAUGAACAGGCAAGGUGCACUAACUUUCAAUGUCAAGCUGGGAAACUUCAAUUGUCCUAUAGAAAUGAACAGGCAAGGUGCAAUCCUUUUGCAUGAAAGGUUUCGCACCUCUUGCUAGUUUUGUUUAGGGUCUGAGUGUUGGCGUCAAGGUCAACAAUGAUAUAUGUCAUUACCUCUGGGCCAAAACAAAGGCGACAAGGAGACCCGUUGUGGCUGAUUGUUUUUGAUAUUGCCGCG
rnacentral:rRNA from 1 species